CCUCUCGCCCUGUUGCCUUUCCCGUCCGACGGAUCUCCGCCUUCUCUCGCCCUGUUGCCUGUCCCAUCCGACGGAUCUCCGCCUUCUUCGUCCUGUUGCCUGUCCCGUCCGACAUCCCGUCCGCCUUCUGCCGUACUCUCCGCCUUCUCUCGCCUUGUUGCCUGUCUCGUCCGACAUCCCAUCCGCCUUCUCCCGUCUGAUAAGCAUGGCACUCGCGGGCUCUUCCUCGUUGUCUCUUCUGCUUUACCUCUCUCUAGCUACUAUAAAUACUAAACGGUGCGAAGGGGUGCGGGCAAGCGAGCGGAGAAGGGCGCGUGCGGGAGCGGCGCGCGGGAGCGAGCCGGGGCGCGAGCGUGCGCCCGGAGCGGGUCGGUCGCAGAGGGCAGCAGGUGCAAGCACGGGCGUGCGAGGGCGCGAGCGGGUGCCGGGCGUGGUUCGCUCGCAGGGGGCAGCACGUGCGGGCGCGGCGCAGGCGGGCAGCUCUCCCUCUCCCUCUUCCCCCACCUAUCUCCGGAGAAACAUCGAGUUAACAAACAACUGAGAGUGAUUGUUUUUAGUGUCACCCUUUCCUCAUUCUCUGUCUCUUGCACUCCAAGUGUUUGAUGAAUUGCCUCUGCAGUGGUGAAGUUGCUUUGGUCUGAGCUUAUUAUCUGGAGGAUUAUGGCUUUAUCUUUCAUAGCCGAAUCGGUGGCGUCGGCGAUCAUCAAGGCGUGCCCGGCGGCUAGCGGCAUGCAGGAAAAUCCUCCUAAAUUUGGAGAAAUUCAGAAGCUGGGUAAUCAAAAACCUCGAAAUUACUACGUAAAUGGAUCGAUCAGGGAUCAAGCACUUCCUUCGAUCUCUUCUCCACAUUCGAUUGCGGCCUUGAUGGGAGCUUCACACGUAGAAGUGUUUGCUUCUAUACAGAGAGGUCGCGUCGGAGAAGAAUGAGCACGGCAAUUGCAGCAAUGUGUGAGAGAUUGAGAAAGAUUUGAUGAUGGAGAAUGCGGAUGAAGCAGGGGAUGAUCAGGGAUCAGGUUGGUUUGAAGUGAAAAAGAAACACAGAAGCAGCUCAAAGCUCUCAAUACAAAAGGCUUCUGGGGCAAUGUUUUGUCUAUUGUUGGUUACUUUGCUUGCACCUGAAUGUGAUAAGAAUUUGAAAUUCCCCGAGACUUUUGUCUUCCCUGCUUUCCUCACUUUGGAUGGCUUACGUCGUCAGCAACCAGUUGUUCUCAUUUGUGCUAAGAAUAGUUCCGGCGUGUGCAUGGUUUCUAGCUCGGUCAGCACUACUAAUCAGGAAGGCUUCGCUGCCAAUCUAAUAAUGCUAGAUCACUAGGGGAGUGUGAGCAAAAUUUAUUUAUUUAUUUCCAUACCUACUCAUGUUUGCUGCUCCUCUUCACUUUUCUCUUCUUUGUAAACAUUGGUUUCAUGUUUUUUUAAGCUAUUGGGAUUUCCCCAAACUGCAUCUUUGGCUUUGAUUUGUCAAAUAUGUGUUUUCACCUUGCUUUUACCUGCAUUCGAUUUUUUUUUCCCUUUUUGUUUCAACAUCCUUUGAAGACUUAGUUAUUUUACAUCAUUGUUUCAAGGUUUUCUACAGAUAAAACUCUGUUCUUUUGCUUUUCCUUCAGCCUGAUUUUCGAAACAAAAAAAUUAUAUGCCGUGGAAUCCGCAAGUCCCUUUUUUGGUUUCUACAGGUUCCCUAUGUCUUCCUGCUGGCUGUCGACUCUUUGUUGUUCUUCAUAGCUGUGUCCUGUGUAGUUUAUAAUAAUGUUUUGUCCUUUGUGGGGGUACUUUGCUUUCGCCUCUUUUUGUCCCAUACUAUGAUUACCUUCCCUUGAAUGUUAGAUGACUGCGACAAUUGAGCUUUCGCCUGUUGUUGUCCCAUACUAUGCUGACCUUCCCUUGAAUGUGAAAUAAUUGCGAUAAUUGAGAGGGGCCCGGGCCUUCUUGGCUGGUGGUUAGAGCACUUUGGAUGGCCUGCAUCAUAGGCAACCGGUGGCUACUUAAUUUAUUUGAAAUUUAAGUUGAUACCUUUGUUUUAAAUUAAGAAACUUCUAUAUACUCAAUGCAUGAGGUGGCUUGGAUUUGCCGAUGGUAGUUGGUACAA